rnacentral:lncRNA from 15 species
CAUGGGUUAUAGGUCGAAAGCUGAAUGAACGAGUUCUGAUGUCCUUUAGAUUUCUUACAGGACGAGUUGUUGUUGCCCAUAACGCGCUAGCAUUCUGCUAAUGAACGCUGAUUGGUCAGUGAAGGACUGAUUACGACCAGAGAUCCCGCUCGAGUACACCCAGCAAUGUGUCAUUUCUUUGCGUCCCCUUUCGAAUGCAACAUUCAAAUUACUAGACAAACACUGAUAUCCUGAGAGAAGAGGAUUGUGAGGGUAUAGCUCCAUAGAGCUCCAUUCAUUCUGCACUCAUCCUGUGAGCGCCCUCACAUGGAGCCAGAGGGGAACUGCAACAGUUCAGGAGUUCUCUCAUUGUUAGACGUUCUCUGGUAACGCUUAACAGACCUACAGUGGAUAAUAUGUCAGCAGCUGAUGCUAACGUUAGCUAAAUGGUAGCUACAGCUAUCAAAGUUGAAUAUUGUGUAAACAAACUUGGAUUUUACUUUGUAUGUGUUCAUAAUAACAAUAACAACAACAACAUCAAUAACAACAAUAACAAAAUGACAUUUUUUGACAAUUUUAGACAAAUAAAAGAUGAAAACAAUAUUUAAAAGGACGAUUCGAGAUAAAGUUUAAAAGCUUUAAUGACAUCGCACAUAUUUGACAGAGAGAGAGACAGAGAGAGAGAGAGACAGAGAGAGAGACAGAGAGAGAGACAGAGAGAGAGAGACAGAGAGAGAGCGUGCGCAGCUGCUGUGGGCUCCCCUGAUUGCCAUGACAACCAAAGCCUGCUCACACACACACACACACACACACAGUUAGCUACAGAGAAUGACAAGACAAUAAUAAGCUAGCGCUAGCUGGCUAGCUAAAGAUAAUUAGCAGGUGGCUAACAAACAAACAAUUUAAAGCUGAAUGAUUUUAAUAUUAACACAAAAUAAGAACAAUACACCUUAAAUAUUUUACCCUACUAUGAGCUGUUCCUUAAUUUACAUUAGCACUUCUUCAGGAGCAUAAUACAAUUAAACACAUUAACCAAAGCUAGCACUUAGCUAGCGAUUAGCGGUUAGCUAGCGAUUAGCGCAGAGCUAGCGAUGAGCGGUUAGCUAGAGAUUAGCGCACAGCUAGCGAUUAGCGGUUAGCACGUAGACAUGGUAUUAACAUAUGGGCCAGAGCAAGGCACAAUCAAAAUUGCUUUAGGAAUUUUCUAGUUAUUGUGCCUUGCAUAAGCAAGCACAAUACUAUUAUUCCCCAUACUUAUUAUUGUGCCUUGCAUAAGCAAGCACAAUACUAUUAUUCCCCAUACUUAUUAUUGUGCCUUGCAUAAGCAAGCACAAUACUAUUAUUCCCCAUACUUAUUAUUGUGCCUUGCAUAAGCAAGCACAAUACUACUAUUCCUCGGGCUUAUUAUUAUUCUUCUUCCGUACGUUUUUCGGCGCGCUUCUUCUCCCGCAGCUUUUGUCGCACAUACACAAAAAAGGUAUCAAAACGUGCGGCUCGAUGAGGACAUUAGUGCUAUGACUUUUCUAAGAAUUUCGCCAAACGGUUUGCCGAUAAAUCGCCAAAAACCGGUAAAAAAAAUGAAUGGGUGUGUAUUGCGAGAACCUCCAACUGAAAAAAACUGCCAGAGUGCGUGACAUCAUCGCUAGAGUGUGGGCAGAAGGGAAAAAUUUGUUGAAAAAUAAAUUUGUAAACUGCUGUCAUGGCCACAAAUUUCACUCUACAGAAAUAAUUUAUAGAUAGAAACGUAGGUAAAUCCGUUGGGGUCGCAGUGAUACCACUGCUGAAGCUGUCAGACAAAUAUUUUUGGCGGGAAACGCACUGAUGCGCCAGCAACGCCCUCUCACGGCCCCAUCUACUCCCAUGUUAAUUUUAGAGGACAAAUCUUGAAACACGCUCGUUGAACCUCUUCUCUCUCAAUCUCCCCAGGUCACAUUUUUUAACUUUAGCCACUGAAACUCGGCAGUGCUAUAGUCAACAAGAUGACGACGCUCACGGUCUUUUCGGUUUUCAUUUCGGUCGUUCCUGGCCAUGCUUUUGAGGGGAUUCGUUUUAAUUGUUUUCUGUCUCUCUGAGGAGUUAGAGACAGAGAGAGCUUGCGCAGCUGCUGUGGGCUCCCCUGAUUGCCAUGACAACCAAAGCCUGCUCACACACACACACACACACACACACACACACAGCUAGCUACAGAGAAUGACAAGACAUUAAUAAGCUAGCGCUAGCUGGCUAGCUAAAGAUAAUUAGCAGGUGGCUAACAAGCAAACAAUUUAAAGCUGAAUGAUUUUAAUAUUAAC